rnacentral:rRNA from 1 species
UAAGGAAUCUUCCACAAUGGGCGAAAGCCUGAUGGAGCAACGCCGCGUGCAGGAUGAAGGCCUUCGGGUUGUAAACUGCUUUUAUAAGUGAAGAAUAUGACGGUAACUUAUGAAUAAGCACCGGCUAACUACGUGCCAGCAGCCGCGGUCAUACGUAGGGUGCAAGCAUUAUCCGGAGUGACUGGGCGUAAAGAGUUGCGUAGGUGGUCUGUUAAGCGAAUAGUGAAAUCUGGUGGCUCAACCACACAGACUAUUAUUCGAACUGGCAGACUCGAGAGUAGCAGAGGUAACUGGAAUUUCUAGUGUAGGAGUGAAAUCCGUAGAUAUUAGAAGGAACACCAAUGGCGUAGGCAGGUUACUAGGCUAUUUCUGACACUGAGGCACGAAAGCGUGGGGAGCGAACC